rnacentral:rRNA from 1 species
UACGAAGGGGGCUAGCGUUGCUCGGAAUCACUGGGCGUAAAGCGCACGUAGGCGGCUUCUUAAGUCAGGGGUGAAAUCCUGGAGCUCAACUCCAGAACUGCCUUUGAUACUGAGAAGCUUGAGUCCGGGAGAGGUGAGUGGAACUGCGAGUGUAGAGGUGAAAUUCGUAGAUAUUCGCAAGAACACCAGUGGCGAAGGCGGCUCACUGGCCCGGUACUGACGCUGAGGUGCGAAAGCG